rnacentral:rRNA from 1 species
GCCUCCUGCAAACUUCAAAGUAUAGGAGGUCUUGCCUGCCCAGUGAUAAAUUAAACGGCCGCGGUAUUUUGACCGUGCGAAGGUAGCGCAAUCACUUGUCUUUUAAAUGAAGACCUGUAUGAAUGGUGGAACGAGGGCUUAGCUGUCUCCCCUCUCGAGUCAAUGAAAUUGAUCUGCCCGUGCAGAAGCGGACAUACAUAUACAAGACGAGAAGACCCUUUGGAGCUUAAGAUACAAGAUCAACUAUGUCAAGAACCCCACACCCGGUUAAACUAAAUAGCAAUUGGUCCACAUCUUCAGUUGGGGCGACCACGGGAGAAAAUAAAGCUCCCAUGCGGACUGGGGCCAAACCCUAAAACCAAGAGAGACAUCUCCAAGUCACAGAACAUCUGACCACAUAGAUCCGGCUACACGCCGACCAACGAACCAAGUUACCCUAGGGAUAACAGCGCAAUCCUCUUCCAGAGUCCAUAUCGACAAGAGGGUUUACGACCUCGAUGUUGGAUCAGGACAUCCUAAUGGUGCAGCCGCUAUUAAGGGUUCGUUUGUUCAACGAUUAAAGUCCU